rnacentral:rRNA from 1 species
CUCUACGGCAUCGAAGCAGUCUAUGUCAUACUUCCAAGAAAAGCUUGCACUGUCAUAAACAAAUAAUGCCUGUACCAUAACCGACACAGGUGGGUAGGUUGAGUAUACUAAGGGGCGCGAGAUAACUCUCUCUAAGGAACUCGGCAAAAUGACUCCGUAACUUCGGGAGAAGGAGUGCCUUAUUUUAUAAGGUUGCAAUAACAAGAUCCAAGCAACUGUUUACCAAAAACACAGGUCUCCGCUAAGUCGUAAGACGAUGUAUGGGGGCUGACGCCUGCCCAGUGCCAGAAGGUUAAAGAAGUUGGUUAGCAUUAGCGAAGCUGAUAACUGAAGCCCUGGUGAACGGCGGCCGUAACAAUAACGGUCCUAAGGUAGCGAAAUUCCUUGUCGGGUAAGUUCCGACCCGCACGAAAGGCGUAAUGAUUUGGAUACUGUCUCGGAGAGGGGCUCGGUGAAAUAGACUUGUCUGUGAAGAUGCGGACUACCUGCACCAGGACAGAAAGACCCUAUGAAGCUUUACUGUAACUUGAGAUUGAAAUUGGACUUUAUUUGCGCAGUAUAGGUGGGAGACGUUGAAAAUAUUCUUGCGGGAAUAUUGGAGUCAUCAGUGGGAUACCACUCUUAUAAUGUUAGAUUUCUAACUUUGUAUCAUUAUCUGGUCAAAGAACAGUCUCAGGCGGGCAGUUUGACUGGGGCGGUCGCCUCCCAAACGGUAACGGAGGCGCACAAAGGUUUCCUCUGAACGUGUAGAAAUCGUAUCUAGAGUGUAAAGGCAUAAGGAAGCUUGACUGUGAGACCUACAAGUCGAGCAGGGACGAAGGUCGGUUUUAGUGAUCUGACGGUGCUGAGUGGAAAGGCCGUCACUCAACGGAUAAAAGUUACUCUAAGGAUAACAGGCUGAUCUCCCCCAAGAGUUCACAUCGACGGGGAGGUUUGGCACCUCGAUGUCGGCUCAUCGCAUCCUGGGGCGGUAGUACGUCCCAAGGGUUGGGCUGUUCGCCCAUGAAAGCGGUACGCGAGCUGGGUUCAGAACGUCGUGAGACAGUUCGGUCCAUAUCCGGUGUAGGCGUUAGAAUAUUGAGAGGAGCCUUCUUUAGUACGAGAGGACCGAGAAGGACAUACCUCUGGUGUACCAGUUAUCGUGCCAACGGUAAACGCUGGGUAGCUAUGUAUGGAGAGGAUAACCGCUGAAAGCAUCUAAGUGGGAAGCCCACCUCAAGAUAAG